GUAUUUUGCUAACGACGUAAAAAAUAUUUUUUUAAUAUUUUCUUUUCUGUAACUACUAUUUUUUUUAUUUUUUUAUUUUAAAAAUAUAAUAUAACUUGACAAUAUUUUGUUUUCUUUUUAAAAAGAUAUGAAUUUAAAAUAAUGAAAUUCUAGUGGUUGUUGAAGAAGAAUAACUCAUACUUUUAUAUGUAAUAGUUUUAGUAAAAAAAAUCUGACUCUUUCAAAAAAAAACCAUAAUUGUCUACCAAUAAAAGUAAUCUGAUAAUCAUUCUUUGCUUGCAGAUCUUCUAUAUAUUGAAUAUCAUUUACAGCAACCAAAUCUCCACAAAGGUCUUGUAGAAACAUGGAACAGUGAUUUAUCAUGAUUAGUUCGACUAUAGAUGAUAAUAUGACAACUAAAGUAUAAAAACGAUUGCAUCAAAAAAUUUUAAAUAAAUUGCUAAAUUAGUGGUACAUAUCACAUUAAUAUUUUCCUUAACACACAUUAUAAUCAAUGGUCAUAUAUGUAUAUAGGAUAAUAUCACUAUAUUGAGUCAAAGAUACACAAAUUAUUUUCGCUAAAUUAGUGAUACAUAUUACAUAAAUACUUUCCUUAACACACACUAUAAUUACUACACGAGUCACAUAUAUGUAUACAGAAUAAUGUCGUUAUAAUAAAUAUAUGGCUAUAAUUAAAAACAUUGCAUAUAUAGAGUUACCUUUUACACACCUGUUGAUGCAACAUAUAAAUAGAUGGCAAUGGUUGUUCAAAAAAAAAAAAUAGAUGGCAAUAAAAAUUUAUAAGAUUACAAUUUUUUUUUGAAUUUAACUUCGACACCACUCCAAGUUGGUACAUACUAAUGAGACCCAAAUAAUAUUUCAGGUUUUUAAGAUUAUUAAAAAUUGUCUAAAUUGCGUUAGACUAAAUGUCUAUCUGGUUUCUUCUAACUACAAUAAGCAUAUUCAUCAAAGACAACAACAGUUUUGAUAUAGUAAGCGUAUCGGUUCAUAUUUGAUAACAUAACUGUUGAGUAUACCCUAAUGUUAUAUAUUUUUAGUAACAGAUACUUUUUUUUGUCUUUGGUUUCUUUGUCUUUCACGUAACUUUAGUGUAUAUGCUAAUGUUAUAUAUUAUUAAUAACAGUGAUUGUUAGCAAAAUAAUUUUUUCACGAUAUUACCAAACUGUUAUAUAUUAUUUUACACGUUUUUUGUAGUUGUCAUCCUCAUAUGGAUUUUUUAUUGUGUUAGUGAAUGAGUAAGUUUUGGUCAUUGAAAUUGAAAUGUCGAGUUUUUAACAUAGUGUAGUUUACAUUAUAUAACAUAAAUUUGUUUAUUUCAAUGUACAUGAUGAAUACGUUUUCAAAACUUAAUAUAUGGCUCAACGAUUAUUUUAGAACACAGUUGUUAUACCAUAGAUGAAUCUACAUAAAAUUCCGGAUUUGGUUAAGACAAAUAAAUUAGUUAUUUCAGGUUUAGCUAAUGGAUGUCAGAUAGAAUAAUUUCGGUUCUAUACCAAACAUAUAGUAUAAUUUUGCCUAUUUAUAAUAAGUAAUGGCAUUACAUGUAAUUGAUCUAGGCAAGAGAGGGCUUUUAAUGUAAGGUUGUGAGAAGAGUCCUAGUGAUGACACCUAAGUAAAGGCAUUUUGGUUAAUCACACAUGAGGGUAAGGUUAUUUAAUAAGAGUGCUCCUCAAAUAAUAUAAAAGGGAUGAACCAAAAAAAAAACAAUUCUCUUUUCGUUAUCUCUUCGAUUAAAAAAAAUAAAAAAUCUUAUCUCUCGUCGUCAUCUCUGUCCUUCUCGAGUCUCAUCUAUGCGUUUCCCCUUUGCUCGAUCUCGAGCUCCGACCACCACUCUGUGGUCUCCACUCACUCGCAAUCGAACACGGUGGCGCCUGAGUCCGUGACCAAACCACACCACGAUAACAUCUCCGUCUUGUUUCGUUCCCGUCGUCACCGGAAUCAUGCCUCACACCGUCAGAAUCAAAGUGGAGAAGAGCAACAAUGGAGUUUCGGCAAAAGGCUUGACUCUUAAAAACUUUCGAAAAUCGAUUCAUGGUUCUUGUUGUCUCUGUGCGUUUUCAAUCAUUAUAGGAACACUUCACAAUCGAUUCUGGGUUAAGUCUCUGUGUUUUUAUUUCUUCUUUUUCUUUCUCUCUUUGGGUAAAUCUAUGUUCUUUGUAACUAACUCUUAUGUUGCGGAAUGAGAGUCUAUAAUCAUGGCGUUUAUUAGUGUUCUUAUGAGUGUCUCUGACUCUGAUGUUGUAGGUGUCUUUCAAGAUUAGGGUAUGAUCCAAAGCGGAUCUGAGAGAAACAGAGGAUGAGCUCGUUAAAGUGUUGGCAGGUUUAUGCUUCACUUCCAUUCUCUUGUGUGAAGUUUUUACUUUCAGUCAUGUGUUCAUAAUGAUGCUAUGGUUACAAAGAACUUGUUAUUUUGGUUUUUGAAGUUUGCCAGUAUCAGUAGAGAAAACAAGCGUUACGGAGUCCCCCUACUGCUCCUCCUCGUAUUCCUGCUGGCGCUUGCAGUGGAGCUGCUGUUGCCGUAGAAACUAGACCUGCUGAUUGUUGAUCAAGAAACUCUUGAAGGAGUAGUAGAGAUAAAGAGUGGAGUAGCGGUUUGUGUUGCUGUUGCUGCCUGGUUUGGAACGGCUAGGCUCAUAGACAACAUUGAGAUCAAGAGAUGGACCAACUUAUGAGCUAUCUCAUCAACUUAUAAGCUGUCAGAUCAUUGGUUUUAUAAACAUUUUUGGUCAUGGUUCCUGCAACCAGAUUACAACGUAAAGGUAGUUAUUGUAUGAUCUUGGUACUAAAUGGGUGUGAUGCGGUUGGCUCGUCCACUUUAUGAUGUUGGAGAUCCUUUUCUUAUCUAGCACUGUCUCUCAUGAUGAAGUGCAGUAAGAAGACAGAGAGGCUUGCUGUGAUUCAAAGGCUUUAACAGAUUAGAGAAAAGUUCAUGUUUGAUUUUCUUGUUGACACGGUGAAAAAACAAGAGAAUUUAUAUGGUUCAUAAUGAUAAUUAGAGUUUGUAGUUAUUAUGUCUGAGUGUAAAAUUAAAGUCUGAGUGUAUUUUAAUUUAUAUUUUAAUUAGAUAAAAAAGGUUUGUAUUUUAAUUUAUAUGUUUGAUUAAAUCAAAGGAUAAAAAUGAUAAUUAUACUUUUAGAUUAAGUUUAAGACUUGAAAUUAAAUAAUGAAAAAAAAGUUAUAAAAUUUUUAGUUAUUGUUGGGUAUAUGAUUAAUUUGGGGUUUAAACCCUAACCCCUAAACAUAAAUUUUAAAAUUUUAAUAUUUUCAUAAUAUCAUUUUAAAAAUAUAAUCUCAAAUUUAAAUUAUAAACCUCAAACACUAAAUCUUAAAUCUACACCCUAAAUCUAAUACCCUACACCCCAAACAUAAACCUUUCAUCUAAUAUUUUCAAACUUAUAAUAUAAACUCAAAUUAGAUCAUUUUAAAAAUCUAAUCUCAAAUUUAAAAUCUAAACCUCAAACACUAAAUCUAAAUCUAUACUCUAAAUCUAAUACCUAAACCUCAAACAUAAAUCCAACAUACAAAGUCACUAAUCUAAUCUAAUAUUUCUAUAUUAAUUCUUAAAUUUCAAAGAUCCUAAUCUUAUACUAACCAUUACUUACAAAAGUUUAUUUUAAAAAUUCAAAUCUUAACUUUUUAUUUUUAUAUAUCUAAACUCUAAACCUUUCAUACAUCCCAAACAUCAAUAACAAAGUCAUGGAUUUAAUCCCUAAAUUACAUAUCUCAUAUUAAAUUUUAAAUACUACAUACAAAGUCAUGGAUCUAAUCUUUAUAAAUACUAGACUAAAACCUAUACUUUAUAAAAAUUAUAUAUUUCUUAAUUCUUUUUCAAAUAUUUAUCCUAAAUUUUAACUUAACCACAAUUCUAUUUCAAAAACUUCAAACCAUAUAUUUUAAACUUAGGCACAACUAUAUCAACUAAUAGUCAACAAUUAUAAUAUUAAUUAACAGAUUUUCAAAAUUAAACUUUAAAGUAUUAAUUUUAAAAUAUUAAUAUUUUAUCAUCAAUUUUUAAAAAUUAUAAACCAAAAGUCACCAAAAUAGUGAAAAAUGGAACAACAAAAGAUAAAAUCAAGAGGAAAAAAACUCUUUAGUAACUAUUAAAUAAAAAAGUAAGUUAUAGACCAAUCCACUAUCAUCACGCGGAUCAUCCUCUAAACCGUAGGAUGCAAUUAAAUCAAUUGAUGAGAUUGUUUUAUUUACUUUUUUCUUUUUAUUUUUUUUUCUCUUUCUUCUGUAUCUUCACAAAUCUCUUUAUCUCCAUCUCAUCGACAAAUCCCUCUUCCAUUUUUUUUCCUUAAUCAUCUCACAACACAAACCACUCUCUGUCUAAUUAUCCUAAACUCAAUGUCUCACUCUCCUAAUCUCUCUCACACACACGACACAUCUCACCAACAGAAGAAAUAGGUUCCUAAGUUCUAGCUAUUUUCAUGUUUCUGGUCAAGAUUAUCAUUUCAAUUAUGGUUUUUCACAGGAGGCGCUAAAGCAACGGUGGAGAAGCGGCAGACUCGUCUCUGGUCAAGAUCUGCGUCGGCUUCACCUCCUCACCACCAACACAGAUUUAUUAAGGAGCAGGGAAGGAGAAGCAGUGGUGUGACAUAGCCAGCGUCUCCGGUCAAGCGUGGUGGUACAAGCCGGUGGUGGUCGUGCGGUGGAGAUGCGAGAGCAAUGUCGCGGUGUGGUGAGUGCGGCGGCGACUGAAGAAGUAAAUUAGGUUUAGUUAGGGUUAAUUAGUAAACCAAUUUGUAAUUGUAAACCAUUUUGUAAGUAUAUACCAAUUUGUAAUGGUAAACCAUGUAAACCAAAAUUCAAUUUAUAAAUGUACCAAAUUUUUUUUUUGUCAA